CAGUAGCCGCGGGAAUACGUAGGUGGCAAGCGUUGUCCGGAAUUAUUGGGCGUAAAGGGCUCGCAGGCGGUUUCUUAAGUCUGAUGUGAAAGCCCCCGGCUCAACCGGGGAGGGUCAUUGGGAACUGGGAAACUUGAGUGCAGAAGAGGAGAGUGGAAUUCCACGUGUAGCGGUGAAAUGCGUAGAGAUGUGGAGGAACACCAGUGGCGAAGGCGACUCUCUGGUCUGUAACUGACGCUGAGGAGCGAAAGCGUGGGGAGCGAACAGGAUUAGAUACCCGCGUAGUCCCUGUCUCUUAUAU
rnacentral:rRNA from 1 species